rnacentral:rRNA from 1 species
AAACUUUCAACAACGGAUCUCUUGGCUCUGGCAUCGAUGAAGAACGCAGCGAAAUGCGAUAAGUAAUAUGAAUUGCAGAAUCUAGUGAAUCAUCGAAUCUUUGAACGCACAUUGCGCCCCUCGGUAUUCCGGGGGGCAUGCCUGUCCGAGCGUCAUUA